UUAGUAGCCAGGGCGAGAGGAUGGAGGAGGGUGGUGGUGGUGGUUCUCAGUGGCUGUGUGGGAUGCUUGGGGCGCGUGUCGUGUGUGCAUGUUACGUAAGGCUUUGUGAGGGGUGCGUGAGUGGGUCCCUGUGCUGCAACACUUAUUUUCUGUUACACGUUGAUCUUAUUUGAUCGGGCCGCGGUGUCGCCGCCUUCCCGGCCUGAAAUGAGAAGACCCCCUUCCUGUGAAGCCCUUGGGGGCGCUGUACAGUGAAGCAGGUUUACCGAGCAGGCGGCAGUUUAGUCGGAGAUGAUGAAUUGAUCAGAUAGAUGAGGCUGGAGGCUGGGAUUUCUCCUCCUCUUGGCCAAUGUGUAUCGAGGCGAUUCUGAUCCGA